rnacentral:rRNA from 1 species
GAAUACUGGAAACCGGAGCUAAUACCGGAUAAUAUAUUGAACCGCAUGGUUCAAUAGUGAAAGACGGUUUUGCUGUCACUUAUAGAUGGAUCCGCGCCGCAUUAGCUAGUUGGUAAGGUAACGGCUUACCAAGGCAACGAUGCGUAGCCGACCUGAGAGGGUGAUCGGCCACACUGGAACUGAGACACGGUCCAGACUCCUACGGGAGGCAGCAGCG